rnacentral:rRNA from 1 species
GCUUUCUUUGCUGGCGACCGGCGCACGGGUGAGUAACACGUAUCCAACCUGCCCUUUACUCGGGGAUAGCCUUUCGAAAGAAAGAUUAAUACCCGAUAGCAUAAUGAUUCCGCAUGGUUUCAUUAUUAAAGGAUUCCGGUAAAGGAUGGGGAUGCGUUCCAUUAGGUUGUUGGUGGGGUAACGGCCCACCAAGCCUUCGAUGGAUAGGGGUUCUGAGAGGAAGGUCCCCCACAUUGGAACUGAGACACGGUCCAA